rnacentral:rRNA from 1 species
AGCGAACGCUGGCGGCAGACCUAACACAUGCAAGUCGAACGAAGUCUUCGGACUUAGUGGCGGACGGGUGAGUAACACGUGGGAACGUACCUUUUGGUUCGGAACAACUCAGGGAAACUUGAGCUAAUACCGGAUGAGCCCUUAGGGGGAAAGAUUUAUCGCCGAAAGAGCGGCCCGCGUUAGAUUAGCUAGUUGGUGAGGUAAAGGCUCACCAAGGCUACGAUCUAUAGCUGGUCUGAGAGGAUGAUCAGCCACACUGGGACUGAGACACGGCCCAGACUCCUACGGGAGGCAGCAGUGGGGAAUCUUGCGCAAUGGGCGAAAGCCUGACGCAGCCAUGCCGCGUGAAUGUUGAAGGUCUUAGGAUCGUAAAAUUCUUUUACCAGGUACGAUAAUGACGGUACCUGGAGAAAAAGCCCCGGCUAACUUCGUGCCAGCCGCCGCCGUAAGAC